UAUCUAUUGAUGUUUGCCAUAUUAGAAAUUAAAACAGAAUUUUUAAAAUAUUUUUUCAUACAUUUAAAAAUAACAGUUAGGCCUCUACUUCUGUAAAGAUGGAGUAGACAGACUUUCCCCCAUUCCUCCCACUAAGUACAACUAAAAACUCUGGCUGUUACGUGUAAAACAGACACAAGAGGACUGAAAGUCGAAAACAAGAAGACUGAGCAGCUAAGGACCUAAGGAAUGACAUUAUGAGUUUCCCGGGUUUUCUUUUUGCCUCAUAUAUCCCAGACUGUAGAUUAGAUACUGGAGAAGCCAGCAACUCAGGAAUGCCAAUGGACGCAGACAAAAAUACAAAACAAAACCUUAAGAGAAACCUUUUUUCCUUAGCCAAAGGACCAGAAAAGUGAUAUCCCAGCAAGAUAAAACAUUGACAAUAGUCAGUAGACAAUAACCAUUUUAUUCCAGCCAAACACCACAGAAAAAGUGUCUCCAACCUAGCCCUGCUAGGAAAGGUCAAGUGAAGAGCCUAGACUUCUGUUUUUGCCAGGAGGUAAGGAUGUGCCCCAAUCCUCCCACUCACUCUCUAUUACCCACCACCACCCUCACCGAGAUGGUAUCAAAGAAGGCUGAGUGUGGAGCAAGUCCUGACUUUCACUACUGUUCACCUCUAAUGAGGGCGCCCCAUCAAUGCAGACCACACAGGGAGCCUAGAUUUCCACCCCCACAUGAAAUAACAAGAUACCCUUCCCGCUCCCACAAGGGUGGUGUUAGAAUUUUCAUGGAAAGUCAGGACUUUCAUGACCGCCCAGCAGUAACAAGACCAUCCUCUCCCCAUCUGCCUGCCAAUGAAAGUGGAGGUUACUUACGGAGUAGUACUGAGGCGUUCCUCCCCCUGCCACUCAGGAGGUAUCAGCAGAGACCUAGUGGGGAGCCUGGAAAAAUGUUAACACCAGUAGACUUUGAUAAGUUAUGAAGGUAAUACCUAGAGCAACCCCCUCCCCCCCCAAAAAAACAGCUGUGCAAAGAGAUACACACAACAAGGUAGAGAAAUUAAAAUGGUACUCUAAAACACGUUCAAGUAACCUACAGGAAAGUAGGAAAAAUGAGUAAAGAAAGAACAGACAUAAGAAAAAAACCCCAAAAAAUAAAAUGGCAGACUUAAGUCAUAACAUACCAAUACAUUAAAUGUAAAUGGUCUAAAUACACAAGUUAAAAGAAAGAAAUUGGUAAUGUGGAUAAAAAAAGGCCCAAUUAUACCCUGUCUAUAAGAAACUCACUUCAGGGGCCGGCUCCGUGGCCGAGUGGUUAAGUUCGCACGCUCCACUGCGGCAGCCCAGGGUUCGGAUCCUGGGCACGGACAUGGCACCGCUCGUCAGGCUACGUUGAAGCGGCGUCCCACAUCCCACAACUAGAAGGACCUGCAACUAAGAUAUACAACUGUGUACAGGGUGGGGUUUGGGGAGAUAAAGCAGAAAAAAAAAAAAAAAAGAUUGGCAACAGUUGUUAACCCAGGUGCCAAUCUUUAAAAACAAAACAAAAAAAAAAGAAACUCACUUCAAAUAUAAUAAUAUAGAUCUCCCUGCUCCAAACCAGUUAUUCAUCCUGUGUCCCAUUCGCCCAAAGGGGCCAGCUGACAAAGCCUGAGAUGCUUUCAGGGUUAUUUGCAUUUUAGUGGGGGUCUCCUAAAGAAUGGAAAAUUUAAAACUCAAGUAAAUUAAUUUCUUUUUUUUUUUUUUUUUUUUGAGGAAGGUUAGCCCUGAGCUAACUACUGCCAGUCCUCCUCUUUUUGCUGAGGAAGCCUGGCGCUGAGCUAACAUCUGUGCCCAUCUUCCUCUACUUUAUAUGUGGGACACCUGCCACGGCAUGGCUUGAUGAGCGGUGUGCAGGUCUGCAACGGGGAUCUGAACUGGCGAACCCUGGGCUGCCGAGAAGCGGAACAUGUGAACUUCACUGCUGUGACACCCGGCCGGCCCCUCAGGGUCACUGUGAUCUCAACUCCAGAUAGUCCUGACUUUGUGAAGUCACAAGUGCUAUGGUGAAGACUAAUUGUGAUGACGCUGGAUCACGGUAUCACUGAGCAAUGAAUGCAGCAGGCGGCCAGGGAAAGGAUUGGAGCAGGAGAGGAAAAGGCAACUUACCAUAAAGAUCAAAUGUUUAUUUCAGUUAGGUAAACAGCAGAAACAGGAAAAAAAUUACUCCUUCAUAAUGAACAGCUUUUUCUUUAUUAUAACAAAAAUAAUGCAGGCUUGUUGAAAGAUAAUUUAAUUAUAUCACCUGUUAUUCUUACCAUGGUUACCAUCUUGUCUAUCAUGCUAUAUGACAAAAAUUUAAUUAAAUUCUCCAUAUAGUUUCAAACUAUUUUUGUUAAUAUGUCACAAAUACACCAUAAUAUAGCAGGAACAUCUCAAUGUAUCAUUAAUGUCAGUAAAUAUGGAUGUUUGUAACAGCUGCAUAUGUCAUUAAAUGAACUAUAAACUAUGCUAUAAUUUAAGUAACUUGUGCUCUAUUUAUGCACACUAGUAUUUACUGACUCCAAUUUUUCUAUAUUUUAAACAAUUCUAAAAUGAACUUUUUAGGUACAUUUUGUUUAACUUGUCUAAUUGUUUCCUUAAGAUAAUUUCUAGAAAUUGACUUGAUCGGUCCCAGGAUGUGCACGUUUAAAUUUUGCUAUAUAUUUUACCAAAUUUCCCUUGAGAAAAGCAGGACUAAUUUCUUCCUGUGAACAGGGUUUGAGAGUAUCUUUCCUCUCCACACCUGAUGCCUACUAUAUUAUUAGUUUUUAAACUUUUGCCAAAAUGACUAAAAAACCUUGCCAUAUUUCUCUAUCUCAGCAUUUCUAUGAUUACAAAAGAACUUGAAUAUUUUUGUUUAUUAACAAUUUUUAUUUCUGUAUAUUAUUAUAUAUUGAACUAUGCG
rnacentral:lncRNA from 1 species